UGCAGAAUCCCGUGAACCAUCGAGUCUUUGAAUGCAAGUUGCGCUCGAGGCCAUUAGGCCGAGAGCACGUCUGUUUGGGCGUCAUGCCUUGUCUCACCCUUACCGUCAAGUACGUCGAACGUGCUACCGAUGGCGGUGGACGUGGAGAUUGACCUUCCGUGCUUUGCCUGUGCGGUCGGUUUAAGUGUAUGUUUUCGCUAGGUCUACGCGCGGCGAGUGGUGUAUCGAGUUAACGCACGAUGUCUCUAGCCGCGUUCGGGGGACCUACGGACGAUGCAGCAUGAAAUGAAACCAUUUUCGAUGUAUAACCUCGGACCAUGACCCCAGAUCAGACGGGACCACCCGCUGAGUUUAAGCAUAUCAAUAAGCGGAGGAGAAGAAACUUACAAAGAUUCCCUUAGUAACGGCGAGCGAAUCGGGAAAAGCCCAGCUUGAGAAUUAGGCGGCAGCGCCGCCUAA
rnacentral:rRNA from 1 species